UUACAAUGAAGAGUUUGAUCCUGGCUCAGGAUGAACGCUAGCUACAGGCUUAACACAUGCAAGUCGAGGGGCAUCAGGAAGAAAGCUUGCUUUCUUUGCUGGCGACCGGCGCACGGGUGAGUAACACGUAUCCAACCUGCCCUUUACUCGGGGAUAGCCUUUCGAAAGAAAGAUUAAUACCCGAUGGCAUAAUGAUUCCGCAUGGUUUCAUUAUUAAAGGAUUCCGGUAAAGGAUGGGGAUGCGUUCCAUUAGGUUGUUGGUGAGGUAACGGCCCACCAAGCCUUCGAUGGAUAGGGGUUCUGAGAGGAAGGUCCCCCACAUUGGAACUGAGACACGGUCCAAACUCCUACGGGAGGCAGCAGUGAGGAAUAUUGGUCAAUGGGCGAUAGCCUGAACCAGCCAAGUAGCGUGAAGGAUGAAGGCUCUAUGGGUCGUAAACUUCUUUUAUAUAAGAAUAAAGUGCAGUAUGUAUACUGUUUUGUAUGUAUUAUAUGAAUAAGGAUCGGCUAACUCCGUGCCAGCAGCCGCGGUAAUACGGAGGAUCCGAGCGUUAUCCGGAUUUAUUGGGUUUAAAGGGAGCGUAGGUGGACUGGUAAGUCAGUUGUGAAAGUUUGCGGCUCAACCGUAAAAUUGCAGUUGAUACUGUCAGUCUUGAGUACAGUAGAGGUGGGCGGAAUUCGUGGUGUAGCGGUGAAAUGCUUAGAUAUCACGAAGAACUCCGAUUGCGAAGGCAGCUCACUGGACUGCAACUGACACUGAUGCUCGAAAGUGUGGGUAUCAAACAGGAUUAGAUACCCUGGUAGUCCACACAGUAAACGAUGAAUACUCGCUGUUUGCGAUAUACAGUAAGCGGCCAAGCGAAAGCAUUAAGUAUUCCACCUGGGGAGUACGCCGGCAACGGUGAAACUCAAAGGAAUUGACGGGGGCCCGCACAAGCGGAGGAACAUGUGGUUUAAUUCGAUGAUACGCGAGGAACCUUACCCGGGCUUAAAUUGCAGUGGAAUGAUGUGGAAACAUGUCAGUGAGCAAUCACCGCUGUGAAGGUGCUGCAUGGUUGUCGUCAGCUCGUGCCGUGAGGUGUCGGCUUAAGUGCCAUAACGAGCGCAACCCUUAUCUUCAGUUACUAACAGGUCAUGCUGAGGACUCUGGAGAGACUGCCGUCGUAAGAUGUGAGGAAGGUGGGGAUGACGUCAAAUCAGCACGGCCCUUACGUCCGGGGCUACACACGUGUUACAAUGGGGGGUACAGAAGGCAGCUAGCGGGUGACCGUAUGCUAAUCCCAAAAGCCUCUCUCAGUUCGGAUCGAAGUCUGCAACCCGACUUCGUGAAGCUGGAUUCGCUAGUAAUCGCGCAUCAGCCACGGCGCGGUGAAUACGUUCCCGGGCCUUGUACACACCGCCCGUCAAGCCAUGGGAGCCGGGGGUACCUGAAGUACGUAACCGCAAGGAUCGUCCUAGGGUAAAACUGGUGACUGGGGCUAAGUCGUAACAAGGUAGCCGUACCGGAAGGUGCGGCUGGAACACCUCCUUUCU
rnacentral:rRNA from 1 species